GCGUCGGUAAUGCAACGGUUAGCAUACGCUCCCGGAAAGAGUAAGAUCUGGGUUCGAAACCCGACUGACGCA